rnacentral:tRNA from 1 species
GGCCCUGUAGCGCAGUUGGUUAGCGUGCCGCCCUGUCACGGCGGAGGUCGCGGGUUCAAGUCCCGUCAGGGUCGCA